GUCGCAGAUACCAGGUGGCUGCAACUGUUUAUUAAAAACACAGCACUGUGCAAAAUCGCAAGAUGACGUAUACGGUGUGACGCCUGCCCGGUGCCGGAAGGUUAAUUGAUGGGGUUAGACUUCGGUCGAAGCUCUUGAUCGAAGCCCCGGUAAACGGCGGCCGUAACUAUAACGGUCCUAAGGUAGCGAAAUUCCUUGUCGGGUAAGUUCCGACCUGCACGAAUGGCGUAAUGAUGGCCACGCUGUCUCCACCCGAGACUCAGUGAAAUUGAAAUCGCUGUGAAGAUGCAGUGUACCCGCGGCUAGACGGAAAGACCCCGUGAACCUUUACUACAGCUUGGCACUGAACAUUGACCCUACAUGUGUAGGAUAGGUGGGAGGCUUUGAAGCGCAGUCGCUAGAUUGCGUGGAGCCGUCCUUGAAAUACCACCCUUGUAGUGUUGAUGUUCUAACGUUGACCCCUAAUCGGGGUUGCGGACAGUGCCUGGUGGGUAGUUUGACUGGGGCGGUCUCCUCCCAAAGCGUAACGGAGGAGCACGAAGGUGGGCUAAUCACGGUUGGACAUCGUGAGGUUAGUGCAAUGGCAUAAGCCCGCUUGACUGCGAGAAUGACAAUUCGAGCAGGUGCGAAAGCAGGUCAUAGUGAUCCGGUGGUUCUGAAUGGAAGGGCCAUCGCUCAACGGAUAAAAGGUACUCCGGGGAUAACAGGCUGAUACCGCCCAAGAGUUCAUAUCGACGGCGGUGUUUGGCACCUCGAUGUCGGCUCAUCACAUCCUGGGGCUGAAGUCGGUCCCAAGGGUAUGGCUGUUCGCCAUUUAAAGUGGUACGCGAGCUGGGUUUAGAACGUCGUGAGACAGUUCGGUCCCUAUCUGCCGUGGGCGUUGGAGAAUUGAAAGGGGCUGCUCCUAGUACGAGAGGACCGGAGUGGACGAACCUCUGGUGUUCGGGUUGUGUCGCCAGACGCAUUGCCCGGUAGCUAAGUUCGGGAUCGAUAACCGCUGAAAGCAUCUAAGCGGGAAGCGAGCCUUGAGAUGAGUUCUCCCUGAUACUUUAAGUAUCCUAAAGGGUUGUCGUAGACUACGACGUUGAUAGGCAGGGUGUGUAAGCGUUGUGAGGCGUUGAGCUAACCUGUACUAAUUGCCCGUGAGGCUUAACCAU
rnacentral:rRNA from 1 species